ensembl:lncRNA
GCUAAUUCUGAUGUGGCAACAUCUCUGGCAAAAUGCAAUCAAAUUUAUAUUACACUGUUUGUCUUAAUUCCCAGGAUUUAUCUGUUUUGCCUAUUUUAUGUAAAUGGAUUUUUUUUUCUCUAUAAUUUCCGUAAUGGGAAAACCUCUAUGAAAGCAGUAGCUCUUCAGGUAGAAACUUAGGCUUAACUAAUAGUAGCUCUCAGAAACUUAAAGGUAACUCAUCUGGAAUUACCCUGUUAAAGCAAAACAUCAAUAAAAUACCUGUUAACCAGAAAGAAGAACAGGAAAGCAAGCUAGCUUCCAGACUUCUGAAUUUUGUUAAUGACAACUACACAUAUAUCCAUGUUAAAUAUGACUUAAUCAACAGGCUUGCUUGUAUACCACCUAGCAUUGCAAGUUUAUGUGCUAUGGAUUUACAGCUUAGGUUUAUUAGGCAAUACUUAUUACUUUCUAUUUUUACUGUAGAACUGGAAUUGCAGGGAACAGAGAAUGGAAUUUAGGCUUCAAACUCUGUAAGUCUCACUGGAUGGCUUUACAGAGGAGGUGAACAAAUCAGUGUGCAAGAGUGGGUGAAAUUCAGAAGUAGGAAUGUAAAUGCAAAAUUAUGAAACCAGCAGUAUGAAGUAAGGAAUCACUGUUAGACUGAAGUCUUUCAUCUUUGUUAUUUGACAUCUGUAAAGGCAUCUUUCAUUAGAGAGACUGAUGACUGUUACUACAAAUAUCCCACAGAGUAGUCGAUUGUGCCGGAAGGAGAAUAAAAUGACGUGCCAGAAGCUACGCAAGAGAGAUGAUGUACAUUAUACUGAUUUUAUGAGGCUGUAGAUCUUGGGAAAGGGAGAGAUUUAUAAUGCCACUCCCUACAAUAAUUAAGAAAGCAUGUGUAUGAUUUAUAUGUGUGUAGUGGGAAGAUGAGGCAAUUUACUGAAAAUAUCACAGAAAAUACAAUCUCUGAAUAAAACUGAUCCGUGCAAUAUGUGCCCUCUAUGCCUCAGAAAAUUCCACAUAUUCUACACUAGUUAUGAGGUAAACGUUCAUUUUUCAGAUUGAAAAACAUCUUUCCUUGCUGCAGAAGUCAGACAUUAUUUUCUCUUUCAUAUUCAGUGAUGUGAAGCUGGCUUAAAAAAUACAUGUCUUGUUAAAUGCCGCAUAAUCUCCAAAACACCACUGAUCAGCUGUCAGCAUAACGUUUUAUAAAGCUUGUCUUCAGAAUGAGAGCAGGAAUUAGGUAGGGAUUUUACUUUUAACUAAGCAAAGGCCUGAUUUGGCAGGUCACUUAUGUGUAGGCUUACUGGUUUUGCAUAAAUGCCAUUGAAAUCACUUCCAGAGAUUUAAAAAAAAUCAUAUUUGUCUUACAGCUGAUUCAGGAAGUAAACAAUGGCUUACAUGCUUUGUUGACUUGAGGUCAGGGACAGCAGCGUACAUGCAGUUCUUGAGGUAGAGUUUGUUAAAGCAAUUUAUUUUAAAAGUGUGUUUGUAUAUUUGUGUCUAUAUACAUAUUUAUGUACAUACAUAAAACUUUGAUACUAGAAUUUGUGAUUUUUUUUUUUUGCUUUCAAGUACAACUAAAAAUUCAGCUACCAAAUGACUGUGGGAAGUGAAAUAGAGCAACUCAUUUGAAAGAAGUAUGAGGGCUGCUCUGAAAGUAAUGCCUCCUAUUUUAUGAUGUUGGCCCACAGUGUGAGAGGUGGAUGUUGGUGGUGUGGCAGUAGAGGCUGAACCUUCCCAUCAGUAUUCUGUUACAUGUUGUUGCUUUGUGACAGGCAGCAGAGGGGCAGACUGACAAAAUGGUGUCUGACAUGGAAAUGCAUAUCGAGCAAAAGUGUGACACUGAAUUCCUCCAUGUGAAAAAAAUUGCACCCAGUAACAACCAUCAACACUCACUGAGCACUGACGGAGAC